rnacentral:lncRNA from 1 species
AGAACACGCCAUUAACAAGGCCAGAACCCCGACUGCCAUUCCUGGACGGGAGCCACCAACACCCGCAAAAUCGAUCGAUUCAGCCUGGGACGCUUGCUGUUUCCGAACCUCUGUUGCCACCUAUCCCAGUUUGGAGGGAAUUUUCCCAAGGAUGGUGAAGAAGGGAUUUCCACACGCCGCCUCACUCAGCCCCGCACCCCUGGCCACCAGCCAGGACUUAGGGUGUAGCUUCAUGACCACACUGCUGUAGGAAGCCAUAAGUUGGAAAUCAACGGGCCUGGCUUGAAGUGUGGCCUUAGGCAACACCGUUCUCAUCUACAUCUGGAUUCUCCAACAAAGCUGGGAAAAAAACGAUCCAAGGGAAGCCAAUCAAAGAGCCUGGAUUGCCAGUCUUCCCUGCUGCGAUCUCCGCCUGCGAUUCUCCAGGGGAAAUGUCCUUUAUGACCUUACAGCUCACCUGGAACCCUCCACCUAGGGCCCGAGGCAGCACAUCCUCUCGUGCCCGGGCACUUCCAGGCAUUGCCCUGAGUACUGGGCACUUCACACACUGGGCUGGACCACUCACCGGAGUGAAUAAGGAGGCUUGAAGCUGUCCUGGUACAACAAUGGAAUGAAGCGCUAGUCUCAGCUCAGCCACUUGGAAUAUGACUCCAACUCUCACAUUUCUGUGGGGUGUAUUCAUUUCAGCUUUUUGUUUGGUGCUAUGGGGAGGGAAGGGCCCUCAGACUGGCAUCCUUUUUCUUCCAGGAUGAUGAUGAAUAUUAUGAAAGUCUGAGGCUGUUUUUAAAAUUCUGCUCUAAUACGUUGUUUUUCUGUGCAUAAGAAUUAUGUAUUCUUAGCUGCAAAACUGGAAUCCGUCUGCUCAUGGAUAAACUUCUGGCCAUGAGCAUGUACCUUUCAGGUAACUUCCCUAUCAGAGAAGCUUACAAUCAAGAAUCCUACUUCCCUAGUUCCCUACACAGGCCCAGGAGGCUUUUGGUGGUAUCCGCUGGACUUUUGAAAAUUAGGGAAUUUCUCCUACUCUGAACUCUACCAGGAAUCACAUAUCAAGAUCUCAGUACCAUCUUACCUAGACCCUCUUGACCUCUUCUUUCUCCAUAAUCUCUUUCUAGCUCAUGUCAUCCAGACUCGAGGGCCCCAUUCUCAGUUUGACACUGAGGACACCCACGCUAUUAUCUCUGGCUGUGACCUUUCCCACGAGCUCCAAAUUCACACCAUCUUUUGACGUCUCCACUUAACUUCCCCAUUUCGGUGUCUCAAACUUGACAAUUCAAAACAGAACUCCCUCCCACUUCCAAACUGGUUUCCUACCCAACUUUCCCAGGCCCCCAGUUUCUCAAGUCAGAAAUCUAUGAGUCAUCCUUGAUGUUUGCCAUUCCCUCAUCCCUCCCAUCCAACCCAUUCGUAGGCUCUUGGGAAUCUACCUCCAAAAUGUCUCUGGAAUCCAUCCUCUUCUCUCCACCUCCACUGCCAACCGCCUCUCACCUGCAAUAGCUCUGAGGCAGCCUCCCCACUUCUUCUGCCUCCCAUCCCCACCCCUACAUAUUCCUGUCCUAUCUCCACCCAGAAGCAAACAAGAUCUUCUUUAACUGUAAAUUGGUUCACAUCUCCCCUGCUUAGAACUUUCCAAGGCCUUGACAUUAUUCCAAGAUCAAGACCAAACUCUUGACUGUGGCCAGUGAGACCUUUCCUGAACUGGUCCUACCUACCUCUGCAAACCCAUCUAGUGACACCUUUCCCUUAGCUUGCCUCCAACAUAGUGUAUUAGUUUCCUAUGGCUGCUGCAGGAAAUGACACAAAUUAUCCCCUUAUAGUCGUGGAAGCCAGAAGUCCAAAAUGGGCUGGAGCCAAGGCAGGCAGGGCUAUGCUGCUUGCAGAGGUUCUAGGGGAGAAUCUAUUUCUUGGUCUUCUUUGGCUUCUAGAGCUGCAAUCCUUGGCUCAUGGCGCCUUCCUCCACCUUCAGAGCCAGCAGUGUAGCAUCUUACUUGGUGAUCACAUUUCUUUCUUCUCCAGUGUCAUAUUUCCCUUUGCUUUACAUUGUCCUUUAAAUUUCUCUUAUAAGGAAACUGCGAUUGCAUUUAAGACCCACCCAGGUAAUCCAAGAUGAUCUUCCCAUCUCAAGACCCUUAACUGAAUCCCACCUCCAAAGUCCCUUUUGCCAGGUAAGGCAACAUUCCCAGGUCCCGGGGAUUAGGAUCUACAUAUGUUCGGGAGUGACUAUUGAGCCUACCAUGCAUACCACGCUCCUUCCCUCACCAGGGUCUUUGUACCUCUUGUCCCCCAUUACUAGAAUGCUCCCUUCUUCCCUCUCACUCUUUGCUUGGCCAUAUCUUUCUCAUUCUUGGGGACACAGCUUACCUGGCACCUCCUCAGACAACCUGUCUCGGACCAGCCCCUUAACAGCCUGAAGACUUUUUUUUUUUUUUUUUUGAUACGGAGUCUUGCUCUGUUGCCCAGGCUAGAGUGCAGUAGUGUGAUCUCAGCUCACUGCAACCUCUGCCUCCCGGGUUCAAGCAGUUCUCCUGCUUCAACCUCCCAAGUAGCUGGGAUUACAGGCACCUGCUACCAUGCCCGGCUAAUUUUUGUAUUUUUAGUAGAGACAGGGUUUCACCAUGUUGGCCAGGCUGGUCUCGAACUCCCGACCGCAAGUGAUCUGCCCACCUUGGCCUCCCAAAGUGCUGAGAUUACAGGCAUGAGCCACAGUGCCUGGAUGAAGACUUUUUCAUGUCUUUUUCAACUGACUUGUUUUCUGCCUGCCUCUCCCUCCACCCUCACCUAAGCACCUUGAGGACCAUGUCUGUUUUGUCAAUCCACUGGUCAUCCUAAUAUAACUGGUUAAUAAAUCAUUGCUGAAUUUAUUUAUUUAUUUAUUUAUGACAGUCUCGCUGUGUCGCCCAGGCUGGAGUGCAGUGGCAUGAUCUCAGCUCACUGCAACCUCCUCCUCCAAGAUUCAAGCGAUUCUCCUGCCUCUGCUUCCCAAGUAGCUGGGAUUACAGGCGUGCGCUGCCACACCCAGCUAACUUUUUUUUUUCUUCUUCUAUUUUUAGAGACAGGGUUUUGCCAUGUUGGCCAGGCUGGUCUUGAACUUCUGACCUCAAGUGAUCCAGCUGCCUCAGCCUCCCAAAGUGCUGAGAUUACAGGCAUGAGCCACCAUGCCUGGCCUCAUUGCUGAAUGAAUUUAAAGAUGACAAACUGACAACCCAAUACAGUGCUAUGCAAAUGGGCUGCUGUGUGUACUCCUCAGCGAAAGGAGACUCAACACCACCUUCCUCCUGAUCUGCUGUAUCAGAAACAAUGGUCUGGGCAGAACAGGGCACCAAUCACAAAGAAAACCCAUAGACACACUCCCAUGCAGGGUCCAGGGAGAUGCCACACCACCGAGUCAGCCAGACGCAAAACCUUUCAAGGAAGUAGGAUUUUACCUUGCUGGGUGACCACCUGAUCCCUUGCUUAUUAAACGCAGCUAAGCACUAUUUUAACACAAGGCCUGCAUGAGAGGCUGCUCGCUGUGGAGAGCCAGCCAUAAGUAAACCUUCUCCAUCCUUCUGUUAAAGACUCCUGGAGCCACUUUGAGGGAAUCGAGGGGGGCCAAGGGGCCUUUUCACAUGUGUUGCAGCCUUUUAGGCUGGGUACGGGGAGGCUCCUGCACAGCUGAAAACUUCACGGGGUUAAACUUUUCUAAACUGAAGCCAAAAGUGUUUUGAUUGCCUGGCUAUUUUCUAAGAAUUGCUUUUGCCUUAAGCUAUACAUUAUCGGGUUGAAAACAUCAUUUUCCUCCGCUUCAAGUAGAAAAUUGUGCUUUAAAAUUUGACAAGUUUUAGUAAUAUUUUUAUUUUUUAU